UACGAACGCUGGCGGCGUGCUUAACACAUGCAAGUCGAGCGGUAAGGCCCUUUCGGGGGUACACGAGCGGCGAACGGGUGAGUAACACGUGGGUGACCUGCCCUCAGCUCUGGGAUAAGCCUGGGAAACUGGGUCUAAUACUGGAUAUGACUCCACGGUGCAUGUCGUGGGGUGGAAAGCCUUGUGCGGCUGAGGAUGGGCCCGCGGCCUAUCAGCUUGUUGGUGGGGUGANGGCCUACCAAGGCGACGACGGGUAGCCGGCCUGAGAGGGCGACCGGCCACACUGGGACUGAGACACGGCCCAGACUCCUACGGGAGGCAGCAGUGGGGAAUCUUGCGCAAUGGGCGAAAGCCUGACGCAGCGACGCCGCGUGAGGGAUGACGGCCU
rnacentral:rRNA from 1 species